AACAAUGGCAACGGUUUUAUUUGAGAACAGAGAGAAACCAUUGUGGUUGGGAACUGUAAGAACCGUUCUCCUAGGGACUCUAAGAAAACGGUUGACUUGAAGGCGUUGCCAUUGAAAGAAAAAACCGUUGCGAAAGGCUAAGAGAACCCCUCGGUAUAGAACGCCACAAAACCGUUCUUGUAGCCUAUGGCAACGGUUUUUUAACAUUACAGAAC
rnacentral:lncRNA from 1 species